AACGAACGCUGGCGGCAUGCCUAACACAUGCAAGUCGAACGAGACCUUCGGGUCUAGUGGCGCACGGGUGCGUAACGCGUGGGAACCUGCCCUUAGGUUCGGAAUAACUCCCCGAAAGGGGUGCUAAUACCGGAUAAUGUCUUCGGACCAAAGAUUUAUCGCCUUUGGAUGGGCCCGCGUUGGAUUAGCUAGUUGGUAGGGUAAAAGCCUACCAAGGCGACGAUCCAUAGCUGGUCUGAGAGGAUGAUCAGCCACACUGGGACUGAGACACGGCCCAGACUCCUACGGAAGGCAGCAGUGGGGAAUAUUGGACGAGGGGCGAAAGCCUGAUCCAGCAAUGCCGCGUGAGUGAUGAAGGCCUUAGGGUUGUAAAGCUCUUUUACCCGGGAUGAUAAUGACAGUACCGGGAGAAUAAGCUCCGGCUAACUCCGUG
rnacentral:rRNA from 1 species